GAUGAACGCUGACAGCAUGCUUAACACAUGCAAGUCUUUGGCGAAGCUGUGCUUGCACAGCCUAGCCAAGGCGGACGGGUGAGUAACGCGUAAGGAACUUGCCCUGCAGUCAGGGAUAACAGACGGAAACGACUGAUAAGACCUGGUAAAGUCAGGCGGACUCAUGUCCAGCCUGAUGAAAAGAGAUGCUGCAGGAGAGCCUUGCGUCCUAUUAGCUUGUUGGUGGGGUAACGGCCCACCAAGGCGAUGAGAGGUAGCCGGCCUGAGAGGGUGGACGGCCACAAGGGGACUGAGAUGCGGCCGUUACUCCUACGGGAGGCAGGAGGGGAGAAUAUUGGAGCAUGGGGGCAACCGUGAUCCAGCAAUUCUGUGUGCAAGAUGAAGGUUUUCGGAUUGAAAAGUGCUUUCAGCAGGGAAGAAAAAAAUGACGGUACCUGCAGAAGAAGCGACGGCUAAAUACGUG
rnacentral:rRNA from 1 species